GCCAAAGUCUGGCUCAGCCCACGAGCGCGCGCUGCGGCUAUUCUGGGAGCGGGGCGGGGCCCGGGUGCGCAAGGGGGAAGCUAAUCUGCAAAGACCAGGAUAUAUGCUACCUAGAAUGUUUAGACUUCAGAUAAAGCACUCAAAAAUCAGGCACUGAAACAGCUAACAGGUUGCUUGUGUAACCUGGCUUCACUCUGCUCUGAUAUUUGCUCUGAUAUUUGCAUAUUUUGUAUAUGCAUUAUUGUCCAGGCAGGAGUUACAUGACAACUCACAGUUAUUUCUACAGGUCACUGGUGUUCUUCAGUGGUCAGGUUGGACAGAGAUCUAGCUGGAUUCUGUCCCUGCCCUCCAGUGUGCCUACCCCACCCCACAUCAUAGUGUCAUCAACAAAUACGGACAGCAUGCAUUCCACACCCAUAUCCAGAUCGCUGAUAAAGAUGCUGAAUAGUACAGGGCCCA